ensembl:lncRNA
GGGACAUUCACAUUGACUCCAUUCUGAGGAAGUUUAACCUGCCACAGGAGCUGCUGAAACAGUUCUACUCCGCCAUCAUUGAAUCCGUCCUCUGCACUUCAGUAACUGUCUGGUUCAGCUCAGCUUCUAAAUCUGACCUCAGAAGACUAAAGAGGGUAGUCCGGACUGCUGAGUGAAUCAUCGGUACAACCCUCCCUUCUAUUCAAGAACUGUACUUAUCCAGAGUGAGCAAAAGGGCUGGCAAAGUCACUCUGGACCCCUCACAUCCAGCACACCCCCUGUUUGAACUGUUGCCAUCUGGUCAACGCUACAGAGCACUGAGCACCAGAACGGCCAGACACAGGAACAGUUUCUUCCCCCAGGCAAUCCAUUUAAUGAACACUUAAUAAUAACUGUGGAACACAUUACACUAUUUAUAUUUACAGACACACACAUUAUCUAACACACAUACUUAGUGCACACUUAAAUUAUUAUUAUUUUUUUGUUGUUGUUGUUUUUUUUUUGCACAUAAUAUACCUGUACAUACAUAACUGCUCAUUGUAAUAUAUCUGCCAUACAAUUGUCAAUUUGUAUAUUGUCAUUCCUUACCUACUUAUUUGUAUUUUUUGUAUUUUUUAUUCUUUUAUUGUGUGUUUUUUUGUUCUGUCGCUGUCAUUCUGAUGCACUGCGGAGCUUCUGUCACGAAAACAAAUUCCUCGUAUGUGUAAACAUACCUGGCAAUAAAGCUCAUUCUGAUUCUGAUUCUGAUUCUGAGUUGGAACUAAACUCUGUAGGAGUUUUUACAGCCCUGUACUGGACUGUUGGUCCGGUCUUUACCUAAUUUCACUUAGAUCAUCAUGAGACCGUGAGGGCAAAAAGUAAAUAAGUGUUUUUAAUUAUCUCAAUCCAUUUUGUUGUAACUCAUCAUCAAAUCUGAUAUCAAGGCAAAGCCUAAUAUUUUAUGCAAUAGUGUACUUUUGCAAUACUUUUACUUCCUUUCCAUACUAAAACAAUACAUUUACAUAGAUCCUAAUAACUCAUUUUUAAAUUUAAAUUGAACAUUUAA